rnacentral:rRNA from 1 species
AAAUGAAUAGACGGGGACUCGCACAAGCGGUGGAGCAUGCGGUUUAAUUCGAUGCAACGCGAAGAACCUUACCAGGUCUUGACAUCCCGCUGCCAGCCCCAGAAAUGGGGUCUUCCUUCGGGACGGCGGUGACAGGUGGUGCAUGGUUGUCGUCAGCUCGUGUCGUGAGAUGUUGGGUUAAGUCCCGCAACGAGCGCAACCCCUAUCAUUAGUUGCUACCAUUAAGUUGAGCACUCUAAUGAGACCGCCGGUGACAAACCGGAUGAAGGUGGGGAUGACGUCAAAUCAUCAUGCCCCUUAUGACCUGGGCUACACGCGUGCUACAAUGGCCGGUACAAAGAGUCGCGAAGCCGUGAGGCGGAGCUAAUCUCAAAAAGCCGGUCUCAGUUCGGAUUGUAGUCUGCAACUCGACUACAUGAAGGCGGAAUCGCUAGUAAUCGCGAAUCAGCAUGUCGCGGUGAAUACGUUCUCGAGUCUUGUACACACCGCCCGU